ACUUUGCUCUACUGUUGUAGAGGUGCUGGAAUGAACCAGCUAUAUCCUGUCAAAAUUGCUGUUAUUCAGCACUUGUUGUGGUAGAUGCUGCUGCUAUUAACAUCACCACUUAGCUGUAUUGAAGUAGUUAACUAAAGUAUGUGUGUAUAGCUGUUGCUGUUUAGUUGCUGGUCGGCCUUGAAUGAACAAAAAACACAUUUGAAAGCAUCCCAUCAUUUCUCCAUAUGGUUUUCCUUUUUCAAGAAAAUCUGGCUUGUGAUCUGAGGGAGAUUUGGCUGCUAUUUCAAGGAGGUGGAAGACCAGUAUAGCUGCCAAAUGUGAGCAUUUACGAAGGAUAAAGGUGCAUUUCAGCAGAGACAACCAAAUUGAAGAUCAUCUUUCCCAGGAGUGCUGUGCAGCUCAAGUUUUUGUAUUAUUGACGUAUAUGAUCAUUUGUUUGUGCUUCAAUAUAAUCAUGCUAUUA